ACGGGAGGCAGCAGUGAGGAAUAUUGGUCAAUGGUCGGAAGACUGAACCAGCCAUGCCGCGUGAAGGUUACGGUCCUAUGGAUUUUAAACUUCUUUUGACGCAGAGCAAUAAGGUCUACGUGUAGAUCGAUGAGAGUAUGCGUUGAAUAAGCAUCGGCUAACUCCGUGCCAGCAGCCGCGGUAAUACGGAGGAUGCAAGCGUUAUCCGGAUUUAUUGGGUUUAAAGGGUGCGUAGGCGGUUGGGUAAGUCAGCGGUGAAAUGUAUAUGCUUAACAUAUAACGUGCCGUUGAUACUGUCCGACUUGAAUGCGGAUGCCGUGGGAGGAAUGUGUGGUGUAGCGGUGAAAUGCAUAGAUAUCACACAGAACACCGAUUGCGAAGGCAUCUCACGAAUCCGCUAUUGACGCUGAGGCACGAAAGUGUGGGGAUCAAACAGGAUUAGAUACCCUGGUA
rnacentral:rRNA from 1 species